ACACCUUGGUAGCAUAGAUCCUAAAAUUUGCAAUGAUACAGAAGAUUAACAUGGCCUCUAUGCAAGGAUGACAUAUAAAUUUGUGAAGCGUUGGGGCCCUCU